rnacentral:tRNA from 2 species
GGGCAUGUAUUCCAAUCGGUAGAGAAACACGACUUAAAAUCGUGACAGUGACGGUUCGAGUCCGUCCAUGCCCACCA